rnacentral:rRNA from 1 species
UGUGCCAGCAGCCGCGGUAAUACGUAGGGUGCAAGCGUUAAUCGGAAUUACUGGGCGUAAAGCGUGCGCAGGCGGUUUUGUAAGUCUGACGUGAAAUCACCGGGCUUAACCUGGGAAUUGCGUUGGAGACUGCAAGGCUAGAAUCUGGCAGAGGGGGGUAGAAUUCCACGUGUAGCAGUGAAAUGCGUAGAGAUGUGGAGGAACACCGAUGGCGAAGGCAGCCCCCUGGGUCAAGAUUGACGCUCAUGCACGAAAGCGUGGGGAGCAAACAGGAU